ACUACAGGUGCUGGCCAGGAUCUUUGGUGCUGGCUGCACGGCGUUGGCUCCUUCCUUCUCGGUGGGUUUUCUUCGGUUUACUCAGAGAGUGGUAGCUGUGUGGAAUGAGCUUCCAGUGAAGGUGGUGGAGGCAGGUUCGUUUUUAUCAUUUAAAAAUAAAUUGGAUAGUUAUAUGGAUGGGAAGGGAAUGGAGGGUUAUGGUCUGAGCGCAGGUAUAUGGGACAUGGGGAGAUUAUGUGUUCGGCACGGACUAGAAGGGUCGAGAUGGCCUGUGUCCGUGCUGAAAUUGUUAUAUGGUUACUCCCACACCCCAAAGUCGUCAGGAGCAUAAUUCCGCCAGUCAUGGAGGAUAAGUGUACACAUCUCUUUGCCGUGUACGUAAGAUAGUGGUAAUUGUGAAGUGAGACUUCCACUGCUGAAUCACUAUCGCUGAAUUAAAAUAUGUACUCAUUCGAGAUUCUUUCAUCUUCCUACAGUCUCUACUGUAAUAUCAAUUGGCUAAUUGUGCUACGGAUUCCUGUCCCUCCUAUGGUUAUACAACUCCUGAUCGAAGAGGAUGCUUUACCAGGAGCCCUGCUGCGGUUAUGUUGCAUAGUCAAGUACGGGCAGAUUGCCUCUUUAAAGAACAUUGGCAGGAAAUUCAACGCUCGUGCCCAGAUGUCCGAGAAAUAGUGGGGCGUCAUUUGCUCUCUUCCAAUUUGUGUGAACCAUUCUGCAACCUACGGAAUUUUGGAAGACGAUGAACGGUGCGCCUGCCUGAAAGGCUACGGAUCAAGUUCUGGAAUUUGGGCAGCUAUUUUCCAGCCGGCACGGAUACCAUCUUCUAUGUCGUCAACUCUACGAUUCCUUGAAACUGGCAAGACGUCUGAUUCACACAACACAGUGGAAACCUGGAGCGCUCUCCCCAAAAGGUUUUUUGGAUGCUGUGGGUCAGUUGGUACUUUCACUGGCAUGUUAGAUAAGAAUUUUGGUGGGAGGGUUAAUGAGGGAUUCGGAGCAAAUAUGCAUAAAUUAAUCUGAGCACAGGCCUUCCCUGACUAACAAAUGGAUUCCAUUUGUACAGAUGUUGAUUUUGUACAUGCCAGAAAAUAGACAAAAAUCACUGCCAUUUUGUAAUGAAUGGCAUUAAAAAACACAUAAUGCUGACAAGAAGGAACAAAGAGACAAAACUAGUUCUAAUGUUCCUAGAAAUGAACGUAUGUAUGUACAUCGGACUUUUGAAUUUAGUAUUGGAGCUUUUCUGCAUGUAUGGGUUUCUCGUAAGUAGGGCAUUUGUUACUUUGGGAUGGCCUGUGUACUGCUCUGUCAUGGUCUAAUUGAAUGUCAAGAAAAAUACUUGAGGAACUGAUUUGAUUAUGCUUUUAGCUUUGAAGAGGGAUGUUGUGUAGAUCAUCUAAUUGAGGUAUAGAAAAAUAUUUAUGGCACGGAUUAUAAUUUUAUAUUCAGGAGGGAGGGACGGAAUGCUGAGGCACAACAAAUUUGCCAUAUGCUUGUUAGUUUCUGUAAUGAAGAAUGAUUUGUAAUCUGGCAAGCAAAGUCAUUAAUGGAUUGUCUCGCCAUUCCCAGGCACACUUUACACAUGCCUGGCUAUUUCACGUAACAGAUCAAAAGUAUUGCCUUUGAUUCUUUUUCACUGAAUGAGUAUCCCUUGGUUGGAAACCUUUAUGCCUUUGGCAAGAACCGUAUGUACCUGGCUGAUGUAUGAACAUUCCUUUUAACUUUCUCUAAGCACGACAAUCCCACUUUCUUUGGAUUUUUCAUGUAAGUGAAGCCUUUCAUCUUGAUACCAUUCUUGCUGUUUAAUGCAGUCGAGCAGAUUUGUGUAGAAGAGAUUUGUAAAAAUGUAGCAUACCUUGCUUUUAUACUUUGCUUCUCUGUUCCAAAGGUUUGGUGUUCCUUUUUUAAACUGACUACUCAACCAACUUGUUCUGCAAUUGUUAAAAAUUCCCUUUGUACAUCUGCAGCGGUCUCUGUCCCAACAUCCCCCAUAAAAUUGUACGAUUUAGUUUACAUGGAAUUCUAGAGGUGAGAGCUAGGUUACAAUUCCUUCUCCUAAGGUAGCACACUGUGCAGUGUUGCAUUGAUUCAAGGGAUGAGGUGAUGUGCAAUGCUUGGUUUUAGGUACUGGUCAUUCCAACCAAUGACAGGACUCAGACAAGUUAGACAACUCUAGACUAUCAUUAGAACAUUGGACAUUAAAAACUACUGUAGAAUUGCAUGUAAACAUGGGUGACAAACUACAUUAAUAUUUCCCAUCAUUACAAGCAUCUGAUAAUACCACUAAAUUCUCCUGCCAGAAGUAUGCAAAACACUUUUGCUUUAAUUAAACUAAUAAUCCCAUUACAAAUUGUCUAACUUGCAAAGCCUAGAUGUUUUUGUGUCACCGCCAGAGGUAAAUGUGACUUGUAUCCUUCCUGAGUAAUCGAUUUAAAAUGCAUUUGCAAGUUCAUAAGUUCAUAAGUCAUUCGAGUUUAUUUAACCAUUGAGUCUACUCUGCCAUUUAAUCAUAACUCAUCUAUCUUUCCUUCUCGACCCCAUUCUCCUACUUUCUCCCAUAACCUGUGACACCCUUACUAAUCAAGAACAUGUCAAUCUCUGCUUCAAGUAUACCCAAUGACAUGGCCUCCAUAGCCACCUGUGGCAAUGAAUUCCACAGAUUCACCACUCCCUGACUGAAGAAAUUCAUCCUUAUCUUUC